UACGUAGGGGGCAAGCGUUGUCCGAAUUAUUGGGCGUAAAGAGCGCGUAGGCGGUCUGUCGCGUCGGAUGUGAAAAAUCAGGGCUCAACCCUGGACCUGCAUUCGAUACGGGCAGACUAGAGUUCGGUAGGGGAGACUGGAAUUCCUGGUGUAGCGGUGAAAUGCGCAGAUAUCAGGAGGAACACCGGUGGCGAAGGCGGGUCUCUGGGCCCGAAACUGACGCUGAGGGAGCGAAGCGUGGGAGCAAACAGG
rnacentral:rRNA from 1 species